rnacentral:lncRNA from 1 species
AAUGGGAUCUAAUUAAACUAAAGAGCUUCUGCACAGCAAAAGAAACUACCAUCAGAGUGAACAAGCAACCUACAGGAUGGGAGAAAAUUUUCACAAUCUAUUCAUCUGACAAAGGGCUAAUAUCCAGAAUCUACAAUGAACUCGAACAAAUUUACAAGAAAAAAACAAACAACCCCAUCAAAAAGUGGGCGAAGGACACGAACAGACACUUCUCAAAAGAAGACAUUUAUGCCACCAAAAAAACACAUGAAAAAAUGCUCACCAUCACUGGCCAUCAGAGAAAUGCAAAUCAAAACCACAAUGAGAUAC